UAAAGGUGGAUGGACAGAGAGCGGGAGCACAGGAUUAGUGUCAGACUCUUAGAACUGCAAGAAACCUCAGAAACAUGUUUGGCGAAUAUGGCCCAAGCUGGCAUCUGGAUAGACACAAUGCCUCAGGAUGCUGGAAGGAAGAGCUAAAUUAAGUGGUGCUUCGAGCAAGAGGAGGUCCUGCAGAGAAACAAUGCAUACAAGUCAUCUUGGCACAGGGAGAUUGUACUUUAAUGGAAGUAAGAACGAAACCUUGUAUUUCUUCAACAUCUCAUGCAACAAUGUUCAACGUCUUAUGUGCACUUGCCGACGUGCCCUUUUCAUAGGCCUUUAGAAACGCGAGGAAAAAGGUUGCCUCUUUCAAAUCCACAAGAGUUAUUGGCACCACGGAGGAAACCUAUCUGCAAAGGCUGGGGCUGGGGCCUUUGUGGGCUGAGACAACCUUGGGCAGCACUAGAAAUGGGUGGGCUUGUCAGUGCCUGCUCUGGGUAGGGGCGGCUACAGGGCUCUGUGCACAGGACUUAGGGUUAGGAGGACGAGCCUGGCGUGUGUGAACAGCGCGGAAGGUGCUGGGGAGGGGGCGUACCACUCGGUCUGAGUCCAGGUGAGAUUCAGGGAUCGGAAGGAGCUUGUGAGAUACUGGCCUUUUCCUCUUCCUCCUCUCCAUCCCAGUCCUUCCCACUUUCUCUUCGUCCUGUCAUUUAAUGGGCCAAAUUAUGGAAAUGAAGGUAUUUUCUGUUAUCCACUGAAUCUGCGGAAUCGCCUUACAGGCACCCAUUAUAGAAGUGGGUGGAAAGAGGAUUAUCCAUUUCUUCCCCCCAAAGAGAAACGGGGGCGGAGAAAAGGGAGAAACGAAACGUGCUCGUUGCAAAUUGACUCAACUGAAUUCACUUUCUUGCCAGCAACCCCUCCCGCUUCCCAGACCCAAAAUAAGGUCCGAAAAAGCCGAAGUGUUCUCUUCGGCUGUAAAGAAUCCACUCGGGCCCACUCGGGUCCUGCCGGCCAGGGCUGCAGAAGGCGAGGCGGUCUCCCUGCAGGACUCGGGAGCCGAACAUUCGGAGAACAGACAUCUCCGCUCCAGAAAACAGGAGAAUUUGUGCAGGAGGGUGCAGACAGGACAAAGAGAGAGGAACCAAAGGAAGAGAGCACAAUAGAACAGCUGAUAGGCUCGACUUGGAAAGCGAAGGCAGCUCAGGACCAAAU
rnacentral:lncRNA from 1 species